ACGAACGCUGGCGGCGUGCUUAACACAUGCAAGUCGAACGGUGAUCUUGGGAGCUUGCUCUUGGGUGAUCAGUGGCGAACGGGUGAGUAACACGUGAGUAACCUGCCCCUGACUCUGGAAUAACUUCGGGAAACCGAUGCUAAUACCGGAUAUGACACAGAAUCGCAUGGUUUCUGUGUGGAAAGUUUUUCGGUUGGGGAUGGACUCGCGGCCUAUCAGCUUGUUGGUGAGGUAAUGGCUCACCAAGGCGACGACGGGUAGCCGGCCUGAGAGGGCGAUCGGCCACACUGGGACUGAGACACGGCCCAGACUCCUACGGGAGGCAGCAGUGGGGAAUAUUGCACAAUGGGCGAAAGCCUGAUGCAGCGACGCCGCGUGAGGGAUGAAGGCCUUCGGGUUGUAAACCUCUUUCAGUAGGGAAGAAGCGAAAGUGACGGUACCUACAGAAGAAGCACCGGCUAACUACGU
rnacentral:rRNA from 1 species